rnacentral:rRNA from 1 species
GUUUGAUCCUGGCUUAGGAUGAACGCUGGCGGCGUGCCUAACACAUGCAAGUCGGGCGGAGAGGUUGCGGAGAUUCGAUCGAUGAUCUGCUUCUUCUUAGCGGCGGAUGGGUGAGUAACACGUGGGUAACCUGCCCUGCACGUGGGGGAUAACAGUUGGAAACGACUGUUAAUACCGCAUAUGCGCGACGGGACCGCAUGGUCCUGGGCGGAAAGAUUUAUCGGUGCAGGAUGGGCCCGCGUCGGAUUAACUUGUUGGUGAGGUAAUGGCCCACCAAGGUGAUGAUCCGUAGCCGACCUGAGAGGGUGACCGGCCACAUUGGGACUGAGACACGGCCCAAACUCCUACGGGAGGCAGCAGUGGGGGAUAUUGCACAAUGGGCGCAAGCCUGAUGCAGCGACGCCGCGUGAAGGAAGACGUAUUUCGGUAUGUAAACUUCUAUCAGCGGGGAAGAAGAUGACGGUACCCGACUAAGAAGCCCCGGCUAAUUACGUGCCAGCAGCAGC